AAAAAAAAAACUGCCCUUUUUUGUAGUUUUGCUAAAAUUUUGAGAAGGAACAUUAGAUGUAUAUGUCCAAUCAACCAUCCUGACCCAAAAGUGCCCCAUCCUAAUUUACAUUAUUUAUUUUUGUCUAAAAUAUUCUGGUUUUCAUAGAUACUUUUCCAACAUGGGAAGGGUUUUAAAAACUCUUUCUCCUUUUCUUUAGUCCUUGCAGCUCUUUUUUAUAAACAUUUUUAACACCUCUGUUAAAGCAAACUUGCAGUUCUCAACAAAGUGUUUUCCACUGAUGUCUGCUAAAAUGGUACUUAGGAGGUAAAGUAUGUAAGAAUAUCCUUCUGAUGCAAUUACAUUUAAUAACAAUAUCAGUGUGGGCCACUUUCUUAGCUACCACCAGUUCUUUAAUGUUUUUGAAAAUUAACUUCCAGUCUUGGCCACAGCAGCCUAAGAGUCCCCAGAAGUAGCCAGUUUUAGGCAUAUUUGAAAGGAAUCUGUCUUUUCUACUUGGGAGGUUGAGGAACUUUCACCUUCUUUCUCAUUCUUCUCAUUUCUGUUAACUUCUUCCUCAAUCUUUCUUUGUGCUUUCAGGAUCUUCUGUUUUAUUGACUGUCUGUAUCUUUGGUCCCAUGUGUUGACUGCUUUCUGCAAUGAUUCAAAACUUUUUAUUUUGGGAAUUCUACCCUAGCCUGGUCCUUGUCCCACUGUGUCAUGUCCCUGUUGAUUGCAGUAGUGGGAAGUCUGUGCUCUGGGGCUAAAUUAGGUAAGACACAUAAGACAUUUAGAACAGUGCCUGGAACAUAGGAGACGCUCCUGGAAGGACUGUAGUUGUUUCCAAAAACUAUUGGGUCAUCGUGGAGGAUUGCUAAUUCAUGAGUAGGGCUGACUUCUGUGCAUUUUCUGGGUCCUUUUCUUUUUUCUUUUUCUAUAGAACUUUUCAUUAGGGUCAGCUUUCCCCCCUCAUGAGAUCAGAUUUCCUUGCAAUUAUUUUCUGAUCCCACAAGGCCAGUUCCACUAGUGCCUGCGUUGAAUUCUUCCACAUACUCAUCUGAUGGAAAGGGGUGGGUUUGGGGCUGAGGAGGGUUUAUGGGGAUGUUGAAUUACCAGAUCUAAGCCCACUCUGUCAACCUGAGAUCUGGAAAGCUGACCACUCGAGACAACUAGAGAUCCCUUCUCCUCUCUUCUUUAAUGUUUUUGCUGUUGAAGUUUCAGCACCUGAGAAGGGUUUUAGCACAGAGAGGAUUAAGAACUGGAUAAUCCUGGAUUUGAAAGUAGAAUGGUGAGCCAGCCUGAAAUAAUGCCCCCAUUUCCAUCUUGCCUAAUUCCCCUUCUUGUGUCAACCUUUGCCAGAGAGACCCCAUCCCCAGAACUGAGGUUGGGAAUCUGGACAUUGAGCAUUGAGACCUGUUCUAAUCCUGUCACAACUUGAUUCUGGCUUUUGGAACAUGAAUCCCAUGUCACAAAGGAAGCUAUGACAUAGGCACAGAGCUACAAGAUAGUGUGAUAUCUUUGGUGCCACUCUGAUGGGCAGGUUGUUCCAGCAAAGCAUGACAGUGUGAAGAUGCUGUGAAGUUGGCUCGGACAGCCGGGUGGAAGCCAGGACUUCCAGAAUUCCAACUGGCCCCAGGGGAAGAACUGGGUUUGGGGGAGAUGUUGAUUUGCAUGUGAUUUGCACAAGACUGAAACUCUGCAAGUGACGGUGGCACCAACGAGGUCUUUCUCACCUCGGUAUCGCUGGCACUUACGUGCUGGGGGCUCAAUACACGUUCCUGGAAGGAACAGAGGGAAGGAGGAGCUUUUCAUUUCUCUGCUAUCUUGACUUUCUCAACACUUCAACGCGUUGAUCUCAUUCGAUUCUUACAAGUGGAGGGAGAAAGGAUGGUUUGUCAUCACCCUUACUUUAUGGAUAAGGAAACCAAGAUAGCAUGGCUUGGCAAUUUAUCCAGAGAAGCAAAAUGACCGACAACAACGCACGGUCCUCAGGCAAAUCCUGUGGAGGAGAAAGGGCAAAGUCAUCCCAGUGUCUCGUUUUUGAGGGAACUUGUGGCUGCCAUGUGGACAGUACCAGGGGAUAUGUCUCAGCAGCCGGCCGGGAACUCUUGGCUGCAGACAGUUGCACAGCUCGUUAUCUUGAUGCCAAAACAAGAACCAAGGACCCUUUUCCACUAGGAGAACUCUCGGCAAGCAGGACUUGAGACGAGCGGAGUCCAGCUCCCCUGGAGGUCCAGUAACAAGUCAGGCUUCUGUGGGGAGCAAGGCAGUGGCAGGGAAGGAGGGGGAGUAAAUGGAAUCAUUGGAGAAAGCACA
rnacentral:lncRNA from 1 species